GUACAGGAAGGGCCUAUAUAAUGGGUUGAUUAGGAUGAGUAGCAGGUGUGUCGGUAGAUGAGCUCAGAUGUUAGAUAAAGUGGGAGUGGGUGGCAUGUAGAGUGGACCAGAGAGUAGACAGAAGGGGUGACCAUGACAGUAAGUGUGAAUGUGAACCCCAACAUUCAGACGCCUGGCACCUCUCAGGUCAAGGGUCCAAACUCGCUCAAGACGACUGUUCCAGAGACCAGUGAGUGUCCUCGACUAGAUGUAGUCAGAACUCCUCAACCCCGUGAAGGAGCUGGGGCUCCUUACCAACCAGAGAGAUCUCUCUGCAUCAGCCCAAGUUACCUUAUCAGGCUGUGGUCAUCCAGGCCGGAACCCGUGACCGUGUCAUCAGGUGCUUGGCAAUGGGCUCCAAUAGACACUCCAAAGGGGUGAUCCACUGUCCCACUUUCAG